AUGCCAUGAUUAGGUCAUUUUCAUAAUAAUUCAUUGAAUCGCUCCCAUGCCUCAUAUAAAGAUUCUUCAUCAAGCUUUUGAUAUGAAGUGAUUAAUUAUGAUCUU
rfam:Gossypium arboreum cultivar AKA8401 contig_46281_1, whole genome shotgun sequence.